rnacentral:rRNA from 1 species
GUGGGGAAUAUUGCGCAAUGGGGGAAACCCUGACGCAGCAACGCCGCGUGAGUGAUGAAGGCUUUCGAGUCGUAAAACUCUGUCUUUGGGGACGAAUAAUGACGGUACCCAAGGAGGAAGCCCCGGCUAACUACGUGCCAGCAGCCGCGGUAAUACGUAGGGGGCAAGCGUUGUCCGGAAUCACUGGGCGUAAAGGGCGCGUAGGCGGUUUGUUAAGUCAGGUGUGAAAGUUUUCAGCUUAACUGGAAAAGUGCACUUGAAACUAACUUACUUGAGUACUGGAGAGGUAAGCGGAAUUCCUAGUGUAGCGGUGAAAUGCGUAGAUAUUAGGAAGAACACCAGUGGCGAAGGCGACUUUCUGGACGAUGUCUGACGCUGAGGCGCGAAAGCUAGGGGAGCGAACGGGAUUAGAAACCCCGGUAGUCC